ensembl:lncRNA
CGAACCCUCCCCUCAGGUCCUGGCAGGGUCAUAUCAGCUCAGCUCCGUAAGCGGCGGCGGUCCGGUGAAAUCUGGCCAGAAUAAGAACACUUGGAAGAGGCAUCAUCAACCCACUGAACGCUACACUGGUCUUGGGAAGAGCAUAAGGACUGGCUGGCAUGGGAGCUGGGGGAUCCUUCCCACGUCUCUUCACCCACUGAAGCAGAGCUGGGUGCCCUACUAGGGCAGCAGUCACUACAGGACAGCCCACGGACUUUGAACAAGGGGCUAAAGACUACAGCGUACCUCAUCUCCUUGCCCCGAUGGUGAUGAUCUUUCACAGGUGAAGCACACAAAAUUCAUAUGAAAGAAGAGCAAAUGGGAAAAACAGUCUCACUGUAAUGCAGCAAACUGACAGAUGAUGAAGGUCUCUGGGAUUGCUCUUGCAUAACUGAAGGUUUUUGAAGCAUUUCCAGGGGGCACUUCUGUGACCCUUUCCAGGACAUCUCUCUUGGUGUUCACCCACGGGGUCUGUUUUUCCUCAGUGCUCAGAUAAUGAAUCAAGUGCAACUGUCUCAGAUUUCAGACAUCUCCAUUUGCACUUGCUUAAGGCAGGGCGUAUCGAUGCUAAUUGGAUCUGAAAAUACUUUGGGAGUAUUCCAUUAGAAGAUCUGAUCAUGCUCUUUUGUACUGGAUUGCAAUGCCCUCUGACAAACAUAAGUUGAACCCAAGUUCCUCUUCCAAGAAGUCGAUGCGUUUGAACCCCGUUUCAAAACGAUGACGAGCCAUGGAGAGGUUAUGUGGUUUGUCCAAGAAUCUUUCAAUGCUCCCAGGUGCAAAGCCUAGGUAUCCUGACUGUCAGACUUCUUUAUUUCCUCAAGGCAUUAUAAAAGACUCUUUCAGACACUGCUUGUUCGUAACAAAAUGUCUCAUACUUACGGCUGCCCGCAGCCAAAACUUCCCCAGCACCAGCAGGAACGAACCCAGCCCGAGGACUCAUCAUAAUGGUUGGUUCACAAAAGCUUUCCAAAAGAAAAAAAAAAAAAGAAAAAAAAAAAAAGGAAUGGGCAAAGCCUCUGGAAAUGUAUUAAAUAUGAUGGCUGACAAGUGGCUGAACGAGGAGUUUGAGUGAAAGGAGUUCUGUUGGUGUUCUAAUUAAUAUCAUAUGAGGGGGAAUUGGAGUGAACAGCAGUGCCGAAUGGUGAGCAAAGACAGAGAUUGAAUCAUAGAACCACAGAAUGGCUUGAGUUUGGAAGGGACCUCUAAAGACCAUCUGGUUCCACUCUCAAUGAGCAGGGACACCCACAGCUCCAUCAGUGCUCAGAGCCCGUCCAGCCUGGCCUCAGGUGUCUCCAGAUCUGAGUGUCAAAGCGCUGUUAAGUGAAUCUGUCCAAAACUCAUCCAUGUGCAGGCACCCUUUUCCUUUUGGAGCUUAUCAAGGCACUUCGAUCAGAGGCUCCUGAAGGUCCAGUGUUGAGGAGGAACAUCCCGUCUGAAGAUUUCAGUUACAGAAUAAGUUUUUCAUCUACCAGAACCCCAAGUCCUUCUCUGCAGGGCUGUUCUGAGGGAGUUCUCCUGUCUGUACGCAUAUCUGGGAUUGUCCUGACCCAACACCUUGCACUUGGCCUUGUUGAACCUCAUUAGAUGCUUGUGUGCCCACUUUUCGAGUGUGUCCAGGUCCCUCUAGAUGGCAUCCCAUCCUUCUAUUCUGUCAGCUGUACCACCCAGCUUGGUGUCAUCAGCAAACUGCUGAGGGUGCACUCGAUUACAUCAUCGAUGUCAUUGAUAAAGAUGCUGAAGAACAUCGGUCUCAAGACGGAUCCCUGGGGAACAGCACUCAUCACUGGCCUCCACCUGGACAUAGAGCCACUGACCACAACCCCCUGGUUGUGGCCAUCCAAUCAAUUCCUUAUCCACUGAAUUAUCCAGCCCUUGAAUAUGUAUCACACCAAUUUAGAGAUAAGGAUGUGGAAAGGGGGAAAGGGGGGAAAUCAACUUCUUACACGAGCAGAUAGCAACAGGGCAAGGGGGAAGAGUUUCAAAAUAAAAGAUGGGAGAUUUAGAUGUCAGGGGGAACAUUUUCACUGAGAGGGUGGUGAAGUGCUGGCACAGGGUGCCCAGAGAGGUGUGGGUGCUCCAUCCCUGGAGGUGCUCAAGGCCAGGUUGGACGGGGCCCUGGACAACCUGAUCUCAUGCCUGAUUUAGUGGUUGGCAUCCCUGCCUGCAGCAGGGGGUUGGAACUGGAGGAUCUUUGGGGUGCCUUCCAACCCAAGCUGUUCUGAUUCUAUGAAUAACACUUGUCAGACAGACACAUAAGGAGAUACAGAGUUUGACGCUCCUCUUUUCUUACCCCAACAUGAAUUAAAAAUAACAAGGUAGAAUUAAAAGGGCCUUGUUGCUAGGAAUCCUGCACAACGGAUGAGUCAGACCUUCAGCCUCCUUCUUCACCAUAUGAAAUACAUAAGCACAGCUAAAAAAAUCUUGAUGCUCCAAAAAGCGAGGCAGCAAUACCAACAAGGGAUAGGCAUCUAAGAAAUUACUAAAAUAAGUUUUGGGUGGAUGAAGAAUAAAAGAACAGGAACACAUCUCCC